rnacentral:lncRNA from 1 species
CCGUUGAUUAGAUAGGAAAUGGUCGUGAUCAAAUCAAGGUUUACAUGACCGUCAUGGCCGUAGAUCGGUAAACGGACGGUCGAGAUUAACUAGUGGCGCGUAUCGAUUCGGUGUAGUGGGGAGCCAUCCGAUCUUGAUCGGAGAGGUGCGCUCAGGUAUUGUUUAUUUAAAUCUGGUCCGUAGAUCUCGGGAUCAAAAGCUGUUGUGCGUACCCGUUCACAUGAAACUCUAUCUAAUCUGGACCGCUCAGAUCAGAUCUUGCGGCCAGGGAUCACAGAUACCCCUUUGCCCGAACCAUUUGUCACAUGAGCCCCUCGAUUUCUAUAAAAAUAACCCGCAGUACGACUGAGUCUGGUAGAUUUUACAGAAUAAACCUUAUGCUUCUUGGUAUUGGUGCACGUAGUCCAGGAAAUAAUGAAAAUAGAAAAAAGGAAUUUAGAAAUUGAUUUUGGGUAUAAAAAUAAUUACAGAAACUCAUUUAAUUCAUAGAAAAUUCAUAUUAAAUCCUUUUUGAUCCAUUCCUGUGGCAUUAAUUUUAUUUUAAUGUUGUUUAUCACCUAGCAACUUUGUUUAGCCAUGAAACUUGAAUUAAAAUUAUUCACUAGAUUUAUUCUAUAUUAAACACUUCAAACUUGUAAAUCCCUAACUCCUUAGUUUUAACUCUGAUUUGAUCCGUUCAAGUUGCGUUAGUCUCGUAUAAAUAUUUAAUAUGCAAUAACCAUAUUUAUUAUACCUUGUCUCAUUAUUUUAUAAUUAGAUCUGUAGUUAACUGAUGUUAGUUAGUCUGGUUAAACUGCUUAUCACUAUUGACUACGAGAAUAUGAUCUAUGGUCAAUUUAUAACUUGAAUUAAAGUUUAGAUAGUUAUUUAUAGAAUAACCUCUCUUAUGAAUUAUAUUAACCAAUUUAUAAUACAGUUUAAUAUUUUAAUCAUACAGAUCUUUUAUAAAAUCAUAACUCCUUAAUCGUAACUUUGAUUUUAGUGGUUCUUGAUCCCUCGAUCUCGUAGCGACGCGUAGAUUAUUAUUAUUCAGUUUGUACUUAUGUUUGGUGUGAUGUUAAUUUUGUCUAUACCAUGUCUGUUUGUACUGCUACGACUAGCAGUGAGGUUUCGAGUCACCUGAAGUUCAUCCUGUCACCUGGAAUCUCAAGUGUCAGGCAAGUUGUGCCCUUGAUCACUUCUUUUACCCAUUCAUGUUCUUAUUAUUCAUAAUGAUCUGCAUAGGAUAAUUUUGCUGGGACCCAAUAGGUUACCCUAGAUUUUGACUAUCUUUAUACCUUGUUGAAACACUGGUUUUACUACUAAAGUUUUGGGUAGUACAUGCUAUUGCUUUAUAUGGUUUUGGGUAUAGAGGUAUUCACUACUCAUGAUUACACUUGUUAUUAUUUGUUCAUUAUUCUAUGUUCAUGAUAAGAUCAUUAUGUUAAUGGGAACAUGGAGAACCACCCGGGAAAACAGUGCUACCACAAGGGUAUAAUGGGACGCCCUUGGCUGAUUAACUAGGAAAGCUAGUGGAGGGCUACCUUACCCGAAAGGGGCAAGGGCAGUAGGGGAGUGGUCAGUGUAGGGAGGUCCUUGGUUGAUUUUGCUGUGAUGGCGGUCAGGCAAGAACCCUGCACUGGAGCUUCCUAUAAACUGUAGCGGGUAGUCUGAAGCUAGUGGAACUUUGUAAAGGCCUCGUAGUGGUACCCUGCCUCGCUUCCUUGGUAGAGGUGUAUGGAGUCUGAUCAACUCCGUGGCAAAUGGGUAACACGACUUGUGGGUAAAGAUGUGCAACCUCUGCAGAGCGUAAAACUGGUAUACUAGCCGUGCUCACGGUCAUGAGCGGCUCGGACACUCACAUGAUUAAUCUAUGGAACUUAAACUUAAUCUGUCAUUUCAUUGCAUUUGGGAUUAUUUUAUUAUUACUUUUAUUUAUUAUUUCUAAGGUUUGGUAUUUACUUACACUUAGUAACUGCUAAUAAAAUUUUGACCAACUUAUAAAAGCAAUGCUCAGCUUCAGCCUUUAUUUCAUUGAUCAGCCUUACACUUCAUGAACUCCCACCUUUGGCGAGUUCAUGCACAUUAUUCCCCACAACUUGUUGAGCGAUGAACGUAUGUGAGCUCACUCUUGCUGUCUCACACCCCCCACAGGUCAAGAACAGGUACCACAGGAUGAGGCGCAUGGAGGAUGCUGCGAUGUGUUCGUGAGAGGUCUAGGCUGUCGUCUCCCAGUCAACUUUGGGUUGCUGGACCGCUGUCUCCUUAUAAUGUAAUUAUUUAUUUUGUAUAGAACUUCUAUUAUGUAGUAAAGAUGUGACAUUCGAUCCUGUGCCAUGAUUCAUCAUAUGUGUGAGACUUGGUCCUAGCACACCUGGUGAUUAUGUUCGCGCCCGGGUCUUGGUGCCCCUGAAAUCCGGGUGUGACAGAAGUGGUAUCAGAGGAAUGUUGACUGUAGGACGAAACCUAGAUAGAACUAGACAACCCUUACCUACUUACCUUACUCUGAUUCUUUCCUAAGCUUAUCUUGAUCAUUUCUCAUCUAUUUCCGCUUUACUCUGAUUAUUCUUACUUUUUCUUUCUAAAGACAAAUGUGGAUUUCACACUUUGAAAUCCCAUGGCUAAAGUGACCAUUAUGUAUAGGAGACCUAAUCUUAAAGAACAAAAAAAACCAAAACUAUUUUUAUACAUAUCUAUUUGCUGCAAUGUUUGUUCUUAUGAUAAUUGUGUGAUUUGGAUCUUUGAUUGAGUGGGAUGAGUUGUGGAGUAGUGUCCACAAUUGCAUCUGCAUAUACUUAGGCAUAUAUAUAACUAAUCAAACUUAGAUUGUCCCUCAUUAAAAAUGUAUCUAGCCUAAUAGAUCCAUCUUAUCUUGAAAGACUCUAUCUUAUCUUAAUGGAUUCAUCUUAUCUUGAAGGAAUCAUCUUAUCCUAACCACUGUACUUAUCUCAUCCUAGUAUAACAACCAUGAUCUAAUCCAAAAUAAUCAGAUCUUAACUAGUUUAAUCUAGUCACACCAACCUAAUCUAGAUUCUAUCUAAUCUAUUAUGAUCUAAUCUAGAGAGAGUUAGUUAAUACUGGUACAAAAGAUAAGGCCAUACCCCUAAGCCUAAAUUGGUGACUUAGAUCAACUCGGCCAUACACAACAACUUGACCUACAUAAUAGGUUACAUAACCUAUCCCACCCAUAUGGAAUCAAACAACCAAACCAGAUUCAGACUAAUCUCAUUUAAUCUCAUAGCCAUCUACUAAACUAGCUGCUCUACCUACGUGUUAACCUCUUCUCCCAAACCCGGAAGGAGACACCAAGGCUCAAGAAGGAAAAGAUCAACCUCGUCAAGGAAGGAGAGGAAGUCAAACUCGAUCUUCCGAUGCGUUACCACUCAACACGGAAUUCUUUCCCAUCAUAAACUUGCUUACCCUAGGUUAUCCUUGCCCUAACCUACCUUUUAUCCUAUACAAUCAGGUGACUAUACAUAUAUAUACCCAUGCUUUCAUAACCACUUUUAACAUGAAACUUAUUAUUCUUAAACUAAUUAGAAGUUAAAGGCUAAACUAUAAGUAAAGCUUUUCACAUCCCUGUCCUUACAAAUCUCGAGGACGAGAUUAUUUUUAAGGGGGUAGGAUUUGUAAAGCCCUAAAAUUCGUAUAAGGCAAAAAUAAUAAAAUAAUAAAAAAUACAUGUAUUUUUCAUGAAAGUGUUUUUGGAAUUAUUUAAAUUCAUUGUUGUGCAUACUCACUUAAGAGAAGUAAAGUAGACAAAUAGCAAAUAAAUAAAUAUAGAAAUAUGCAUCUCAUGCCGAGGUUCUUGUAAUUGUGCAUUUGUGUUUAAAUUCGCAAGACAAGUUUAAGUUAAAAAAUAUAGAAUUUGAAAAGGGAGGAGGAAAACAAUAUACACUAUGAAGAAAUAUAUAUAUAUAUAUAGAAAUGAAUAUAUUUUUUUAGGCUAAUACAUGUUGGCCGAAGUCCUAAUCGCAGCCAGCCCACGGGCACGUUCGUUUUUUUUCUUCUUUAUUGUGUUGGCGGCAUUCUGCUUCAUCCUGACAUAUGGUAUGACAUCAGCCAUGCAUGUGGGCCCCAGCCGGCAGAUUCAUCCCCUUUCCCUGGAUCAGCUCGUACGGUACCCGUAUUGAAUGCCCGUUAAUCCGGAUCUGAGCGAAACAAACUCAGCUAUGUGGCCGAGAUCGUGCCCCGCCGUUUGGGUCCUAGGGAUUCCUCAGGGAUAUAAAGAAACGCAUCAGGCAGCCUCUUCCAUCGCACCGCCAUGGACCUUCCAUCUUCUCCUCCACGGUACUUUCUCCACCCAGUACGGCAGUACCCCAGGUCGACCUCCAUGGCGCGCGGCAACUCAAGCGCUGGCUCUCUCCCUCCCUUCAACACUCCAGGGCCACCGGCCCCUGCGCCUCCCUCUACUCCACACGGCCAGCAUGGCAGCCGGACGCUGAGAUCCAUGGCGAGCUCCUCGCGCCGUCUACUUUCCUCAUCGGCCGUGACUUCUCGACGCUCGUCCUCAAGCCCGGCCGUGUCGGUCGUCCCUGACCCCACCUUGGUGCAGCGCUACCAGCCGCCAUGACGUCGUCAUCUUCGUCGCCGAGCCAGACGCCGCCACUGUCCAUACCUGUCGCCAUGGUGGAUCGAAGGGUCCCGUCUUGCCCCUCUGCUCGGCUUCCUGCUCCCAUGUCCGUUUCACCCGUCGGCAGAGGGCUUCGACACUCCAAUCCUUGGUAUGGAUCUUCCCCAUCUAGUUCACUUGCUCACUGCGGCGUGUAGAAUAUUUUUGUUUGGUAUCUGGGUUGCCGGUCAGAGUUACCCGAUGAACUUGCCGCCAUGGGUGCUCUGCUCCGCCAUGUCUGCUGGAGGGGAGAACACGAGUGCCGUUGAUUAGAUAGGAAAUGGUCGUGAUCAAAUCAAGGUUUACAUGACCGUCAUGGCCGUAGAUCGGUAAACGGACGGUCGAGAUUAACUAGUGGCGCGUAUCGAUUCGGUGUAGUGGGGAGCCAUCCGAUCUUGAUCGGAGGGGUGCGCUCAGGUAUUGUUUAUUUAAAUCUGGUCCGUAGAUCUCGGGAUCAAAAGCUGUUGUGCGUACCCGUUCACAUGAAACUCUAUCUAAUCUGGACCGCUCAGAUCAGAUCUUGCGGCCAGGGAUCACAGAUACCCCUUUGCCCGAACCAUUUGUCACAUGAGCCCCUCGAUUUCUAUAAAAAUAACCCGCAGGACGAUUGAGUCUGGUAGAUUUUACAGAAUAAACCUUAUGCUUCUUAGUAUUGGUGCACGUAGUCCAGGAAAUAAUGAAAAUAG